GGACAGGUGGCUGAGCGGUCAAAAGCAACGGGCUGUAAACCCGUCGACCUUUGGGUCUACGGAGGUUCGAAUCCUCCCCUGUCCACCA
rnacentral:tRNA from 1 species